UCACGCGGGUGACCCGGGUUCGAUCCCCGGCAACGGCGUUGUUAUUUUUUGUUUCUCGAUACAUUUCGUUAUUCUGAUAAAAGCAGUCACCACUCACCACCGCGAACCGGAGGAGACUGCGAAAUUAGGGUUCACUCUCGAUAAAAAUUUGUUUGAUCAGUGUGAUAGCAAGUUUCCCCAGCUUGGUUGCUUUGACUGGAUAGAAUUUGAAGUUCCACUAUUAAAAGAAAAGUGUAGUUAUCUGAAAUUAGGUUGUUAGAGUUAAAGGGAGGCAAUGAAACUCUUUGAUGCUCACUGUCACCUUCAAGACCCGAGAAUUUUUAGCCUAGCCCCACGAUUAAUCAGUUCAUCUCUUGAUUCUGGGAUUGCUCAUUUUGCGGUUAAUGGGGUUUCAGAAAAAGACUGGCAUUUGGUCAAGCAGAUGAGUGAGUCUUAUCCAUCUGUUGUUCCUUGUUUUGGUGUUCAUCCAUGGUUUGUUCCUGAGAGGACGGCGGGCUGGUUUACCAUUUUGAGACAGUUUUUUGAUUCUACACCUUCUGCAGCUGUUGGGGAGAUUGGUUUAGACAAAGGGUCACGGGGGAAACAAAUUGAUUUUGAUGUUCAGGUUGAAGUUUUCAAGAAACAGCUGGAAUUAGCGAAAGAGCUGAGAAGGCCAGCAUCUGUCCAUUGUGUCCGUGCCUUUGGUGACCUUCUUGAUGUAAUGAAGGCAACUGGGCCUUUUCCUGAUGGUGUAAUUCUUCAUUCUUACUUAGGAUCUGCUGAGAUGGUUCCUGAAUUAGCAAGGCUUGGUGCUUAUUUUUCAUUCUCUGGAUUUCUUAUGUCAAUGAAAUCACAAAAGGCAAGGAAGAUGCUGAAGGCGGUGCCUUCUGAUAGAAUCCUGCUCGAGACUGAUGCACCAGAUGCUCUGCCUAAUUCGAAGUUGGGUGAUUUAUUCUUGGUAGAAGGUGAUCCUUCUCUUACUCCUGAACUUCAGGCAUUAGGAGAGAAUCCAUAUUUGAGGGCUCACAGUGACUUGUCAGAAGUCGAGAAAGAAGUACCAGAAUUGUCCAAGGAAAUGUUGAAUCAUCCGGCUAAUAUUCAUAAUGUACUGGCCUAUGUGGCCUCCCUGCUUGAGAUGACUGAAGAGGAACUUGCCGGAAUAAGCUACUCAAAUGCAAUUCGCUUGUUCACUUAUGAAGGGUCUAAAAUAUCCCAAGAAGGGUUCGAGCAAUGUGACAACUAAUUGCAGAUGGAGGAAGCACUUUUAGUUACUUGGAUAGAAAAUACACUAGGAAUAUCUGAUUGAAAUAUUGAGCUAACCCUUUCCAUCUCAUCAUCUAGUUCAUUAUCUUGUUCUGAUAAUGCUGCUGCAGGAACUGUUCCGGAGCAAUCAGUGGAAGGCUAAAUCCCGUCUGUUGUGCAUCACAUACUACUUUGUAUCUGCGCCAAAUGUUCGGCCAACGUUUGUGGCACCUGCUAAUUCCAUGUUGCAGAGGACGCAGACGUAAAUAUUAAUAGGUCUUGAGUUUGCUGUCAUCUUGAUCAAGCUUCUAAUUAUCAUCUUUGUGCUGUUUACACUCCAUUGUUGUCAAUAAAAUCAAUAUCAUCUUGUGGAAAUUGUUGUAGUUGUUUCUUUGAUCUCAUUGUAAAAGGAUGUUCUUAACCUUUUUCACCCCCCACAAUGAUUUGUACAGGAGAUAUUUGUGUACCUGUUUCCUUGACAGCUAAAGUGAAUGUCACACUUUCCUUUUUGGGUUGUCCCGGGAAAAGAAGUUCACUCCCA